CAGUAGCCGCGGGAAUACGAAGGGGGCUAGCGUUGCUCGGAAUGACUGGGCGUAAAGGGCGCGUAGGCGGUUUAUACAGUCAGAUGUGAAAUUCCUGGGCUCAACCUGGGGACUGCACUUGAUACGUAUGGACUUGAGUGGAGAAGAGGGUCGUGGAAUUUCCAGUGUAGAGGUGAAAUUCGUAGAUAUUGGAAAGAACACCGGUGGCGAAGGCGGCGACCUGGUCUUUAACUGACGCUGAGGCGCGAAAGCGUGGGGAGCAAACAGGAUUAGAUACCCCUGUAGUCCCUGUCUCUUAUAC
rnacentral:rRNA from 1 species